CUGAUGCUCGAAAACCCCGAAGAAAGAGAAGACCAAAGAAGAAAAAACAACAGGUUGUUACUUUUGAAUCCAAUGUGGCUUUUCCUUCCUGAUUAUCAUUAUGCAUGCUCAAUUUCAAGCACACCUGGCAAAUUUAUUAGUUAACUAUGUCCUACUUUGGCCUUUUUUCCUUCCUGAAUAUCGUUAUGUAUACUCAAUUGCAAGCACACUUGGCCAACUUAUUUGUUAACUAUGUCCUACUUUGGCCUUGUGACACCUAACAUACUGGAGAACGCCCCAAAAACAUGAGGCUAAAAAGUGAACAAUAAGUUGAAGUCUUCAAUGUUGGUAAAAUUUUGAGAAUAAUCCUGCUCAAUUUAUGUUGGGUUCUAAACAUGAACGCGGCACACAGAGUCAGAGGUGGUGAACU
rnacentral:lncRNA from 1 species